rnacentral:tRNA from 1 species
UGGGGGAUCGUCUAGCGGUAGGACAGCGGACUCUGACUCCGUUAACCCAGGUUCGAAUCCUGGUCCCCCAGCCA